rnacentral:snRNA from 1 species
AUUAUGGUGUAUUUUAGGCCUUAUGCUGCCAAUGAGAUUUAUCUGAGGCACAAUUAUUGCUAAUUGAAAACUUUCCCCAAUAUCUUGUAUUGAUGACUUGCAAUAUAUUCAGCACUGGCAAUUUUUGGCAGUAUCUACAGAGA